rnacentral:lncRNA from 1 species
ACUCUCUUGAAUGUUACAAGAAAAUUAUAUUCUUUCUGCUAGUUAAUUUUCCCUUGUAACUUGAAUUCUGUGGUUAAUUUAGCACAUGGAUGCCACACAAAUGUCAUAUUUUGCAUAAUUUCAGUAAGAAAAUAUUUGAUACUAACUAAGUAUAUUGGUUAGUGGCCUAGUGUGAUAGAACUAUCACUGUAAGCUCUGGUAAAGAACACGUUAAAAGUAGUACAGUUUUUAUUUUUAAUGCAAGUGAAUUCAGUAUAUGAUUGUAUUUACUGUGAACGAUACUCUGGAAUUUCCAAAGACAUCAAACCUUUGAUAAUAUAAGUGAUAUAUUGUAAAAUCAUUACAUUAGGAAAUUUCUGGAUCAUUCUCGAUGAAAUACGUACACAUGUAUCAAUGUACAGAUAAUAAUUUUUUAUGGUACCUUUUUCUUUAAUUGUUUUUUUUUAUGGAGUGUAACAUUUGCAGAAAAUAAAAAUAACUUUUCUACUAAAAGUUAUAUCAAAAGUAAUUUAUUUUUUAACACUGUUAAAUUCUUAAUUACAAUGCUAGGUUACUCUUGUUUGGAAGUUAUAACCUGGUAUAAUCUAGUUUUAAAAGUGUGAAGACUGUAUGAAAAUACUGUUCUCAAGUUGGUGGCUGAAUGCAGUAUGUUAAAUUUGUUCACACAGUUUCAAACACUGAUAAACUUUUUUUUAUUAAAACUUUAUAGAAAUUGUUUUUCAAAAGUUAACUGUUUCACAUGGGAGAUAGUCUUAUUCAUUAUAAUUUUAUCUUUUUGUGAAGUUUAUUCACUUACAGUGUCAAAACUAGAAAUGUAUUGAAAAAAAGGUGGUAAUGCUAACCAGAAAAAAAAAAAGCAUUUCUGAAUUUAUAUACAUGUUCUCAAAUAAUCAGUGACUUUCUUUGAGAAAAGUUUGUAUCAACAAUUUUCUAUUUCAUGUCAUACAAUAACAUUAUUUUUCGUUUGAAAUGGGGACUGUACUCAUAUUUUUUUUAUCCAUUUUACUUUUUGAAAAGCUGAUACAAUAGUUAAAGAAAAAUAAGCUUGACUGAGUAUAUUUUUGUUGCAAAUGUCUUUAGUAUUGGCCAUGCAAGUAACAUACAUAGUCAGUGUGUCCAUUUGAUCACUUUAGUUAAAUUCAUGUAUGCAUGCUCAAGAUAUCCAUGUUACUUGCAUUGAACGUAAUUUAUUACGAUGUCAGUUAUCUGGAUAUAAUGGUACAUGUUCUAUUAACAAAAUAUAAUUUAUAUGCAGGUCAGAGUAUUUGUUAGUUGUAACCACCAAAAACAAUACACAAAAUGAGGGAAAAAGUGUUAUCUAUUUGUUAUUCUGAAAAGUGUUAAUAUUGUGAUGAUGUUUUGUAUAUUUCAUCAGAGAAAAUCUGCAACUGAUAGAAAAAUGUUUGCCUGUAUUAGUUGUUAAUGUAAAUCUCAUUACGUCAAGAGUACGUUGACAAUCACCAUUUGUUAUCCAAUUCAUUGAAAUAUGAAGACCUUUGUAAAGUGCACAACUACUAUAUGUUGACUAUGCAAUGGAAUGAAAGAAGGUCCUGCUAGCUAGUAAGGUUGUUUGUUGGCAUACUGUUUUACUGCAUUCCUUUUUUUUUUUUUACAUGCUUGAUAGUUAUGUCAUGUUAAUUUUUGUUUAGGUAGUAACUUUUGGUGAUAUUUUGAAAUAAUUUUAAAGUUGAAUAUAAGUUUGCACAUUUCUAUCAGAUUUUUUAUGUUUGAUGUGAACAUGUUGAAUCAUAUUACAGAUAUAAGUCUAUUUUAAUUUUUUUCUUCAGAGAAAAAACUAUAUAUAUGCAUACUCAUGUGUGUGUUUUCGGGUAAUUUCUUGUUCUAGUUGAUGUCAUGCUUGAUAUUUUUUCUAGAAGCCAAGAAAUUUUAUCUCAAAAACAGCCUUUGGCUGCCAACAUAUUCUAAACAGUCAAAACUGAUUGGAACAGGAUGUUACGAAUGUGAAAUCUGCCAGAGACGGUUCACAGCCAAACCCAGUCUGAAGAGGCACAAGAUUGUGAUGCAUUCAGACAUUCGCCCAUUAUUCCAGUGUAACUUGUGCCCAAGGUUUUUCUCAUGGAAAGACAAUUUAGAGCGACACAAGCGUAUUUCACACAAUGACGUGUCUGUGGGCUUUGAUUGAUAGAAUAAUCCUUGUAUAGUGUGGAAAAUUGAGUGAUGGCUCAGGGCUUUCUGCAGAAACCUUUUCUCCUCAGAAGUUUGGAUCACAGAUUAUGUUGAUGAAAAGCAAAGGCUACAGAAGAAGAAUCUUGAGCAAAUAUUUGAGACCAUGUUGCCAGUACAAUCAUGCUCUAUUGGAUUACCAUGUAUCUUGGCAAUAGCCCUACAGCAUAGUUUCCAUUACAAAAGGCUCUCAUAUCUACACCACUCCUCCAUGUAAGCUUUCCAUAAUCCACCUGUUGUAUGAAGAGGAUGGUUUCCCAGUGCUUGUUUCAACAAUUGGAUAGUACAAAAAUCCAUAAGCACUGCAUUCAUUGACUUGACCAGUGUAGAAAUAUUUAUUUUUCACCACAGUCAAAAUCUUCAAAGAUUUGGAAAUGUGAGGCAUGCACAAGGACAUUUUCAUUUGCUGCAGGAUUAAAGCAACACAUGGAGAUGCACAAUGAUUUGACCCAUCGCUGUCCAUUGUGUCCUCAGACGUUCAAGUGGAAAAACAGCAUCUACCAGCACAUAAGGAUCAAACAUAGAACUCCUUCUUCUGAUUGAAGUGUGUGUGUGGGUUUAAAAAGACUAGCAUAAGUAACCAGUUUUUAUUAUUGUACUGAUUCUUUGUUCAUUGUCUUGACGUAAGAAAUGGAGCCAUGUAGUGCCCCAUUAUGAAAAACAUUAUGUGGUAAGAUAACUCGUGGAAAUUUUUACAUUGAUCUUUAUAUAGUGUGUCCAAUCACUGUGAGGAAUAUAAUUCCUGUAGCUUAGCUCUGACUAGACUUACAUUUGUUUCAGGAGUAUUUGCACGGGUUGUUAGAAUUUGCUGUACCAUCACUUAACCUCUUUGUGGGAUAAAGAACAUUCUCCACUAAUGAAUCAUCAGUACGGAAGUUAUAUAGAAUUCAUUAUAUAUAUUUUUUGAUUUAACUGUAUGUGUAAAAGUUUGUAGCUUGUUAUUAGAAUAAGCUUUUGGUGUAGCAGGUACCCUGUUACUUAGAAGUGUUCCAUUGUAUGUGAAAAGGUGUUGGUUGUAAUUCAUUGUAAGAUGAAAUUUUGUCCCAUAAAGAUAUCUUGUUCAACAGUUAGAUCUAUUCUGUGGGUAGUCUUAGUGCGAGUGCAACUUACGGGGCAGAAAUAUAUAUAUUUACUUUUUUAAAUUAUUUAUUCAAAUAGGUGUAGUGUUGGUCUGUCCUAAUUUGUGCCAGCUCACUCUGUUAUUCAAAUAAAAGAGAGAGAGAGAGAGAUCUAAUUUGGUUGUUUCUGUUUAUUAAUUCAUAAAGUGUCCCAGAGAGAUUUUCCAUUAACUUGUAUCUGUCUGCAAGGGCUUUUGGAGUAUCUUUAUACUCUGUGUUUCUCUUGAACACAAUUUGCUGCAAUUAAGAAAACAAAGGAAACGUAAAUUUCAGUUUCAGGAUUCAGAUGAAAUAUGCCCCCAGUGGCACAGCGGUAUGUCUGCGGACUUGCAAUUCUAGAAACCGGGUUUCGAUACCCGUGGUGGGCAGAGCACAGAUAGCCCUUUGUGUAGCUUUGUGCUUAACUUCAAACAAAUAGAUGAAAUACACAAGCAAAUAUGUAGUUGUUAUGCUCUAACAAAAAUAUUUCUCGAAUAUGAUCUGAAAUGUUUGUUUCUGAGAAAAGAAAUUAUUUUCAACUGAGAUAAUCUUUAAAGCAAAGUGGGCAUAAUUCAGCAUAUUUUUUUCGUUUACAUUUCUCUGUAGCUAUGUAAUUAAAAAAACAUCUUUUACUAUUAUUAUUGGUAGUCUUCCAAGUCAAAGUUCAACAAUAAAUUAUAAGGUUAACUUCCCACAUUGUACCGCCUACAGAGUACUGCUCAAGUUAAUCAGAACCUACACAGUACUGCUCAAGUUAAUCAGAACCUACACAGUAUAAGCACAAGUCAUUCAGGAUGUACAUGGUAUUUGCACAAGUCAUUCAGGACGUACAUGGUAUUUGCACAAGUCAUUCAGGAUGUACAUGGCAUUUGCACAAGUCAUUCAGGGUCUACACAGUAUGAGCACAAAGUUACCCAGGGCAUACACAGUAUAAGCACAAGUCAUCCAGGGCCUACACACUAUAAGCACAAAGUCACCCAGGGCCUACACAGUAUAAGCACAAGUCAUUCAGGGUCUUCAUAAAUAUAAGCACAAGGCAUUUGAGCCUAUAUAGUACAAGCAUAAGUGAUUCAGUUCGUUAUACAAGGGCAAGUCAUCACAGAAUACAAAGUAAAGUCAUUUAGGUUAGUAUAAAGGCAAUUAAUUCAGGUUAUCAUUCAGAGAACAAUGGUAAGUCAUUGGAGAAUUUACAGAAUGCAAGGUUAUGUCCAGUACUAUAGAGUAUAAGCACAUGUUACUGAGGGCUUUAGAGUGUACCAGGUCAGAUUGUCAAGCUGUACAGGGUUAUGAAGGAAAAUUAGUGGAGUACAAGAACAAAUCAAAAACUGUACUGGACACAAGGACAUGUAAACAUGGAGAAGAUGAUAGGACAUUAGUGGAGUACAAGAACAAAUCAAAAACUGUACUGGGCACAAGGACAUGUAAACAUGGAGAAGAUGAUAGGACAUUAGUGGAGUACAAGAACAAAUCAAAAACUUGUACUGGGCACAAGGACAUGUAAACAUGGAGAAGAUGAUAGGACAUUAGUGGAGUACAAGAACAAAUCAAAAACUUGUACUGGGCACAAGGACAUGUAAACAUGGAGAAGAUGAUAGGAUAUUUUUUUAGAGAUUAGAAUAUAUAUAUUCUGGUGGUGUUUAAGUAACUAGAAUAAUGCUGAUUAAUGUAAUUUGGAUAACGACCGAAUUAUUCUGAUGGGAGUUGAGAUUAUCAGAGUAGAACCAGACUGGUUAACCACUUGUUAACCGUAACAAAAAGUGGUUUUUGUUAAUCUAUCGUAGCAGUAAUCAUGUGGGGUCCAUUAUAUGCUUUUCCAUGGGUGAAGAUUCUCCGUUUGUAGAUGGAAAUCCAUCACAUCCCCUUCCUCAGGCAUGCUUACAAUGCAUGAUUUAAAUUUAACGUGAAAUAAACACGUUUUACAUUUUACUGCCAAGACUAUCCUAAUUUUUAGUGGUCUAAACUUCCAGCUAUUUUCAUUUAUACAAGAAAGGGGUCAUAACUGGUUAAUUCAGUGAUACAUUUUUCAUGUGCAACUGAGGCUUUAAAAAAUUAAUUGGGCUUAUGUGUAAAAGGUUUAAAAGAUUUAAUUAGCUUCAUGUGAUUAUUAGGUUGGUCCAUCUGGUAACAUGAAAAGUUGUGAUUUCUGAGUUUCUUUUUUUUUCUCCUACAAAGUCAAGUUAAAAUUGUAUUCUGAAAGUUGUACAAAAUGGAUCAGAAUGCAUCUGAGAAGACGUACAACCCCAGAGCUAUUGAGGGCUAAGCCCCAAAAGCCCUGACCAAUAGAUUUGUUUCAGGCAAAAUGAUCAUUAUACACUUUCACUUGUGCUUAUCCUCACAUUAACAUCUACUUAGUGUACACUUUCACUUGUGCUUAUCCUCACAUUUAACACCUACUUAGUGUACACUUUCACUCGUGCUUAUCCUCACAUUAACAUCUACUUGUGUACACUUUCACUUGUGCUUAUCCUCACAUUAACAUCUACUUAGUGUACACUUUCACUUGUGCUUAUCCUCACAUUAACAUCUACUUAGUGUAAACUUUCACUUGUACUUAUCCUCACAUUAAUAUAUACUUAGUGUUUAGGCAACAAUUAAACUAGGUUUAUAGAGUAUGUAUUAACCAAUAUACAAUAGCAAGAUUUACCUUAUUUACAGAAUGUACUAUUUUCGUUUAGUUUGAUAAUUGACCAGAGGUAAAUGAUGACAAAGUUAACCAUUGGUGUUUAUUCUUGCAAUAGUUACAAAUGAGAUUGGCUAUCUGUGUGUACACCUACAUUAAUAUAAUGAAAUUUUCUAUUAUUGGUCUUUAUGACAGGAUUCUUAAAUGAGGUGAAACUUUGUGUACAGUGUUUCAAUUAAUUUAAUGCUUAGUGUCCAUUUGUUCCUUUUUUGUUGUUGUUGGUGAUAGAAUUCUAUUUUGGAUGCAAUUUUUUAUUUAGAAAAAUUUCUGGUGAGGUUUGUUUUCAAGAAAUUAAUUUUUUUAUUUUUCUGAGGUCGCUUUUAUGAAAAUUAAACUAAUUUGGUUAAGUCUAUUUUAGUGUUUGCAACAAAUUUUAAAACUCGGAUCCUAAAUUUGGCAUAUGUCUUUCUUACUCUUAAAAAAAAUUACAUAGGUUAGUAUGACUGGAUUUUUAAUCCAAUGACUCACGUUUUUUUUGGCACAUUAUUGCAAAAUUACAUUGCAUUUUGGGACUGUAGGUGCAUAAACAGAGUGGUGGUUCAGUUACACAAUUUAAUUGGAGUAGCUUACAAGAUGGUAGUGGGUGCUGUUGACUAACUGUAGUCUAUUAGUUAAAAAUUAGGGAUGGCUAGAGCAUGUAGCCCAUGUGUAGUUUUGUGCAAAUAUCUAAAAUAAACAAGAAAUGUUAUGAAGUAUUCAAUGAAAUGUGAAGUUGAGUUGUUAGGAAAGAAACGGCAUGAACUAUUUCUUUUAUGACAGUCUGCUUGUGAAUAUAUAUAUAUAUAUAAAGUGGAAUAUAAAUAAUGAAACCAUAAGAACUGAGAGGCAGAUAUCGUAUUAGAGAUUCAUAAGGGUUGAGUAUGUUCAAAUAUAAAAAUAAGAAAACUCAGAUAAAGAAAUUCCUAAACAAAGCAGGUGUUAAAUUUAAUGUAUAAAAAAAAUAUCUGUUAAUGGAAAAAUUGACUGAGUUGGUAGCUAGAAAUCUUAUUAUUCAAUUGUUUUAAAAGUUACAGUUAUGGAAUAUUUAGAUCAGCUAAAUUAUCAUGAAAUGUUAGAAUUUUAUUAAAUUUCAGAAAUGGAAAAAUCAAUGAAAUACAGUUUUUAACUUGAUUGAUAAAGAUUUAUAAUUCUGACAGCUAAAUUUGUCACCCUAGAAAUAUUUCAUUACUAAAUCAAACGUAGCCUUGUAAAUCACUGUGGGACUCUUUACAAGUCUGUAGAAACAUCUGAUUAAUGUUUCUUGAUGUAUGUUUACUAAACAAUUUUUUUGACAUCUAGCCAUAUGUUACAGUUUAGAGAUACAGGUUAAGUUUUCAUAAUGUCAUAUGAUUUGGUUUUUUAAUUCAUUGUAAGCUUAACUUGUGAUUUUUAUGAUUCUAUGGUUUAUUUUUAAUGUCUUUUUGUUUUUAGCAUAUACAAUGUACAUACAAUCUUACAGGUCCAUUGAGAUGUUGAUAUUUUAUGAAUUUUUGUACUAUGUAUAUUUUUUGUUGUAAUUGUGUUUAUGUCUUAGGGUAGUAAGAAAUGUUAAUAGGUUUCUUUGUGCCAACUUCAUAUUAUUUUUGUGUUUAUAUUGAUUCAGCUGAAUGGUUUGAUAAUUAUAGAACAACAUUUUCUAAACUAGAAGUUGUGUCUACAAAAUAUCCAAAUAUUUUUCAGCAACUUAAGUUAUUGUGGUUGUAUAUUUGUUAUCAGCAAUUGAACAAUGAAUGUAACUUAUAAUUUAAAUUAUUUAAUGUGACCCAUCUUUGAGAGACGUUUGAAGCCAAGUUGGUGUAACUUUACUACUCAGAGACUGGCCAUCUGAAUUAUAUGAUUUUAUUUAAACGCUGUCUUAGAUCACAUCAAGAACUGAUCCACAAAAAUUGGAAAUAGUUUAAGAGUGGAGAAUAUAAAAUACAGUUUGUUUAAUUUAGUUUAAAAUGAGAAACAGUUAUUAGUUUUCUUCAUUUCUAAGUCAACUUAUGUAAGUGAAUUCAUCUAGGUGUUUUCAUGAAUAUUAUGUGGUGAUUUUAGUAUUCAUGUGAUAGUAGUGUCAUUUGUAUAACUUUUUUAGUGUCAGUUUUUUUCUUUCGAUAUGGCUUUUUCUACAGGUUAUUGAUGAUGCACAGUAGACUUGAAAAAUGUGUUUGUAUAGUUUCAGAAUGAAAUUAAAGUUAUAGAAAUCCACUA